rnacentral:rRNA from 1 species
AUUGAACGCUGGCGGCAUGCCUUACACAUGCAAGUCGAACGGUAACGGGUCUUCGGAUGCUGACGAGUGGCGAACGGGUGAGUAAUACAUCGGAACGUGCCUAGUGGUGGGGGAUAACUACUCGAAAGAGUGGCUAAUACCGCAUGAGAUCUACGGAUGAAAGCAGGGGAUCGCAAGACCUUGUGCUACUAGAGCGGCCGAUGGCAGAUUAGGUAGUUGGUGGGAUAAAAGCUUACCAAGCCGACGAUCUGUAGCUGGUCUGAGAGGACGAUCAGCCACACUGGGACUGAGACACGGCCCAGACUCCUACGGGAGGCAGCAGUGGGGAAUUUUGGACAAUGGGCGCAAGCCUGAUCCAGCAAUGCCGCGUGCAGGAUGAAGGCCUUCGGGUUGUAAACCGCUUUCGGACAGAAAGAAAUCGCCAUUCCUAAUACGAGUGGUGGAUGACGGUACUGUAAGAAGAAGCACCGGCUAACUACGUGCCAGCCGCCGCCGUAACAC